rnacentral:rRNA from 1 species
GAUGAACGCUGGCGGCGUGCCUAAUACAUGCAAGUCGAACGAACGGACGAGAAGCUUGCUUCUCUGAUGUUAGCGGCGGACGGGUGAGUAACACGUGGAUAACCUACCUAUAAGACUGGGAUAACUUCGGGAAACCGGAGCUAAUACCGGAUAAUAUUUUGAACCGCAUGGUUCAAAAGUGAAAGACGGUUUUGCUGUCACUUAUAGAUGGAUCCGCGCUGCAUUAGCUAGUUGGUAAGGUAACGGCUUACCAAGGCAACGAUGCAUAGCCGACCUGAGAGGGUGAUCGGCCACACUGGAACUGAGACACGGUCCAGACUCCUACGGGAGGCAGCAGUAGGGAAUCUUCCGCAAUGGGCGAAAGCCUGACGGAGCAACGCCGCGUGAGUGAUGAAGGUCUUCGGAUCGUAAAACUCUGUUAUUAGGGAAGAACAUAUGUGUAAGUAACUGUGCACAUCUUGACGGUACCUAAUCAGAAAGCCACGGCUAACUACGUG